UACGUAGGGGGCAAGCGUUGUCCGGAAUCAUUGGGCGUAAAGCGCGUGUAGGCGGUUCGGUAAGUCUGCUGUGAAAGUCCAGGGCUCAACCCUGGGAUGCCGGUGGAUACUGUCGGACUAGAGUACGGAAGAGGCGAGUGGAAUUCCCGGUGUAGCGGUGAAAAUGCGCAGAUAUCGGGAGGAACACCAAUUGCGAAGGCAGCUCGCUGGGACGUCACUGACGCUGAGACGCGAAAGCGUGGGGAGCAAACAGGG
rnacentral:rRNA from 1 species